rnacentral:rRNA from 1 species
CAGCACCUCAAGUGGUCAGGAUGAUUAUUGGGCCUAAAGCAUCCGUAGCCGGCGCUGUAAGUUUUCGGUUAAAUCUGUACGCUCAACGUACAGGCUGCCGGGAAUACUGCAGCGCUAGGGAGUGGGAGGGGUAGACGGUACUCGGUAGGAAGGGGUAAAAUCCUUUGAUCUAUUGAUGACCACCUGUGGCGAAGGCGGUCUACCAGAACACGUCCGACGGUGAGGGAUGAAAGCUGGGGGAGCAAACCGGAUUAGAUACCCGAGUAGUCC